rnacentral:tRNA from 1 species
ACCUGGCUGGCUCAGUGGUAGAGCAUGUGACUCUUGAUCUUGGUGUUGUGGGUUCCAGCCCACAUUGGGUA